rnacentral:tRNA from 1 species
GGAGAGAUGUCCGAGUGGUCGAAGGUGCACGAUUGGAAGUCGUGUGAGGUUUAAAAGGCCUCCGAGGGUUCGAAUCCCUCUCUCUCCG